ACAGAGAGAGACUUAGAUGUUAGUCAGGGCUCAAACACAGCCCCCAUUAAGCCUGAUUGCCUUGCAAGCUGCCUGCCAGAUAGGAAGCAAUUUUGUGUGAUGACAAAAUUGUUAUCUGGCUGUUUCCUGGAGGGUUUAUCCCUCCACUGAGCAGGAUAAAUUCUCAGGGCACCUGUGGAAGGGACAUAUCUUGUGGACAGAGCCCGCAGCUCAGUUCCUAUGACUGAGAGCCCUGAUGAGGAACGCUUCCCAUCAGAGAAUUACUAGAAUCAAUCUCCAGGCCUGCUGUGGUUUGAAUUGUGUCCUCCCAAAAAGAUAUGUUGGUAUCUUAACCCCAGUCUCUCAGAUUGCGACCUUAUAGAGAUAAUCAAAUUAAAAUGAGGUCAACAGGGUAGACCCUAAUCCAAUAUGACUGAUAUCCUUGUAAAAGGGGUAAAUUGGGUCACAGACAGACACACAUAAAGGGAGGACAAUGUGAAGGGGCACAGGGAGAAGAGGGCCAUCUAUAAGCCAAGUGUUGAGAGCUGGGACAGAUCCUUCCCUCACGGCUCUCACCUUGAUUUGUCAACCCUGCUAACACCUGGUUUCAGACUUCAAGUCUCCAGAACUGUGCUAACUGUACUGUUGCUAAGCCACCCAGUUUGUGGUACUCUGUUACAAAACAAAUACAAGGCCUUCAAUCUCUCCUUUUCCAUUCUCUUCUCCUCGUAUUUACCCUUAUCAUACACCCCUUGAGGGGAAAGUACAUUUAGGUAGAAAUAAAACAUGGAGUCUCAGGGACAUGGAUGAGCCAGACCCCACAUAUCAUUCUUUGCCUCCCUGAGUCCUCCACCUGGGGCCACACCUCUGCCUGGAGCUAAGUUACCAACAGCCAGGAGCUCAAGGUCACUCCAAGUUACUGCCAUCCUAAACAGAAGAGCAGUUCACCCCAGUCCCUCUUCCAGAAAGUUCAGCCUGGAGACCCCCUCUAGAUACUGCAGGGUUUGCAAAGAUGAUCAAGAAGCAGUCACUUCCCUCAAGAUGCUUGCAGUUUGCCAUGGGGAAUAAGAUUCAUAUAAAAACCAUGACAUGGAAGCAACCUAAAUGUCCAUUGACAGAUGAACGGAUAAAGAAGAUAUGGUAUAUACAUAUGGAAUACUACUCAGCCAUAAAAAGAAUGAAAUACUGCCAUUUGCAGCAACAUGGAUGGACCUAGAGAUUACCAUACUAAGUAAAGAAGGACAUUGUUAAGAGAAUUGCCUGAUGGUCAAACUACAAGAUGUUCUUCUGGAAGGAGGAAGGAGUCUGGAGCUUCCAAGAGAAACACCCUCAUGCCAAGCCACAGGGUGGCUCAUGUGACUGUUGUAUGGACACAGAUCAUUCCCACCAAGGAUGCCCCCAAAUACACCUGUAGCUUCAGUUGUCCAGCUAGGUCACAAUAAAAGUGAGUUUUUAGGACUACAAUAUCCACUUUCCGCCCAAGUCAUUUUAGCCUCUAACCAUUGAACAAUCCAGCCCCUGCCUAUCCUUUCACUCCUUUUGACCCUGAAUGUCCUGUAAAUCAUUUAUUUAUUCAACACAUAUUUACUGA